rnacentral:rRNA from 1 species
GAAUCCCGUAUAUGGCACGGACUCCCGUUACUCUGUGAUACACUCUCAACGAGUCGAGUUGUUUGGGAAUGCAGCUCCAAAUGGGUGGUAAAUGCCAUCUAAAGCUAAAUAUUGGCGAGAGACCGAUAGCAAACAAGUACCGUGAGGGAAAGAUGAAAAGCACUUUGGAAAGAGAGUGAAACAGUACGUGAAAUUGUUGAAAGGGAAACGCUUGAAGUCAGUCGUGCCCUUUGGGAUUCAGCCUUGCUUCUGCUUGGUUUACUUCCCUUUGGGUGGGUCAACAUCAGUUUGAAUCGGAGGAGAAAGACUUGGGGAAGGUGGCAGCAUUCGUGCUGUGUUAUAGCCCCUUGUUGUAUACUUCGAUUUGGACUGAGGACCGCAGCACGCCUUUGGCCGGGGCUCGCCCACGUACGUGCUUAGGAUGUUGGCAUAAUGGCUUUAAGCGACCCGUCUUGAAACACGGACCAAGGAGUCUAACAUGUGCGCGAGUGUUUGAGUGUUAAACUCAGACGCGAAAUGAAAGUGAAAGGUUGGGAACACUUAUGUGUGCACCGACGCCCGGAGCUGACCUUCUGUGACGCAUCUGCGGUAGAGCGUAUAUGUUGGGACCCGAAAGAUGGUGAACUAUGCCUGAAUAGGGUGAAGCCAGAGGAAACUCUGGUGGAGGCUCGUAGCGAUUCUGACGUGCAAAUCGAUCGUCAAAUUUGGGUAUAGGGGCGAAAGACUAAUCGAACCAUCUAGUAGCUGGUUCCUGCC